CCUACGGGGCGCAGCAGUGGGGAAUAUUGCACAAUGGGGGAAACCCUGAUGCAGCGACGCCGCGUGGGUGAAGAAGUAUUUCGGUAUGUAAAGCCCUAUCAGCAGGGAAGAUAAUGACGGUACCUGACUAAGAAGCCCCGGCUAACUACGUGCCAGCAGCCGCGGUAAUACGUAGGGGGCAAGCGUUAUCCGGAUUUACUGGGUGUAAAGGGAGCGUAGGUGGCGUGCCAAGUCAGGAGUGAAAACCCAGGGCCCAACCCUGGGACUGCUCUUGAAACUGGCAGGCUUGAGUGCUGGAGAGGUAA
rnacentral:rRNA from 1 species